rfam:Flavobacterium succinicans strain DD5b FLB_contig000017, whole genome shotgun sequence.
UUUUAGCCCCGGGAGGAGUGGCAUCCUUUGCUGCCGGGGUUCGGCAGUAAAGAUAGAGCGGAUCACGGGACGAUGU